rnacentral:rRNA from 1 species
GACGAACGCUGGCGGCGUGCUUAACACAUGCAAGUCGUACGGUAAGGCCCUUUCUGGGGUACACGAGUGGCGAACGGGUGAGUAACACGUGAGUAACCUGCCCACAACUUUGGGAUAACGCUAGGAAACUGGUGCUAAUACUGGAUAUGUGCUCCUGCUGCAUGGUGGGGGUUGGCAAGCUCCGGCGGUUGUGGAUGGACUCGCGGCCUUUCAGCUUGUUGGUGGGGUAGUGGGCCACCAAGGCGGCGGCGGGUAGCCGGCCUGAGUGGGUGACCAGGAACAGUGAGACUGGGACAGAGCCCAGACUCAGACGGGUAGGAGAGGUAGGGAAGAGUGCUAAUGGAGCGUGAGCCAGAUGCAGCAACGGCGAGGGCGGGAGAACGGCCUUCGGGUUGUAGACCGAAUUCAGCAGGGACGAGGCUGUUUGUGACGGUACCUGGAGAAGAAGCACCGGCUAACUACGUG